rnacentral:rRNA from 1 species
UGCAAGUCGAACGAACCUUCGGGUUAGUGGCGGACGGGUGAGUAACGCGUGGGAAUCUACCCUCAGGAGGGGGAUAACGGUUGGAAACGACCGCUAAUACCCCAUAUGCCGAUAGGUGAAAUGAAUUUCGCCUGAGGAUGAGCCCGCGUCUGAUUAGCUAGUUGGUAAGGUAAAGGCUUACCGAGGCUUCGAUCAGUAGCUGGUCUGAGAGGAUGAUCAGCCACACUGGGACUGAGACACGGCCCAGACUCCUACGGGAGGCAGCAGUGGGGAAUUUUCCGCAAUGGGCGAAAGCCUGACGGAGCAACGCCGCGUGAGGGACGAAGGCCUCUGGGCUGUAAACCUCUUUUCUCAAGGAAGAAGAUAUGACGGUACUUGAGGAAUAAGCCACGGCUAAUUCCGUGCCAGCAGCCGCGGUAAUACGGGAGUGGCAAGCGUUAUCCGGAAUUAUUGGGCGUAAAGCGUCCGCAGGCGGCCUUUCAAGUCUGCUGUUAAAGCGUGGAGCUUAACUCCAUUAUGGCAGUGGAAACUGAUAGGCUUGAGUAUGGUAGGGGCAGAGGGAAUUCCCGGUGUAGCGGUGAAAUGCGUAGAUAUCGGGAAGAACACCAGUGGCGAAGGCGCUCUGCUGGGCCAUUACUGACGCUCAUGGACGAAAGCCAGGGGAGCGAAAGGGAUUAGAUACCCCUGUAGUCCUGGCCGUAAACGAUGAACACUAGGUGUCGGGGGAAUCGACCCCUUCGGUGUCGUAGCUAACGCGUUAAGUGUUCCGCCUGGGGAGUACGCACGCAAGUGUGAAACUCAAAGGAAUUGACGGGGGCCCGCACAAGCGGUGGAGUAUGUGGUCUAAUUCGAUGCAACGCGAAGAACCUUACCAGGGUUUGACAUCCUGCGAACCUCUUAGAAAUUUGAGGGUGCCUUCGGGAAUGCAGUGACAGGUGGUGCAUGGCUGUCGUCAGCUCGUGUCGUGAGAUGUUGGGUUAAGUCCCGCAACGAGCGCAACCCACGUUUUUAGUUGCCAGCAUUUAGUUGGGCACUCUAGAAAGACCGCCGGUGAUAAACCGGAGGAAGGUGUGGAUGACGUCAAGUCAUCAUGCCCCUUACACCCUGGGCUACACACGUACUACAAUGCUGCGGACAAAGGGCAGCAAACUCGCGAGAGCUAGCAAAUCCCAUAAACCGUGGCUCAGUUCAGAUCGUAGGCUGCAACUCGCCUACGUGAAGUAGGAAUCGCUAGUAAUCGCAGGUCAGCAUACUGCGGUGAAUACGUUCCCGGGCCUUGUACACACCGCCCGUCACACCAUGGAAGUUGGCCAUGCCCGAAGUCGUUACUCCAACCCUUGUGGAGGAGGACGCCGAA